ensembl:lncRNA
UGGCCCUGGGGUCCUGCUCUCUGAGGCCAAGCAGUCUGGGACACUUGUCUACCCCCCGCAACCCGCCUUGGCCCCUCCUCCCCUCCCGGCCCCGUUUCCUUCCCCUCUUCUCUUCCAUCUUGCCACCUCACUCCCAGCCUUUCCAGUUCCCGCCUCCCUCCUCCUCUCUCGUCCUCUCCCGAUUCCCUCCUGCUGACUGCUCCCUCCCCUUACACCCCCUUCUCUGCGUGCUAAUGGCCCGGUAGCGGGCGGCUCCGUGGCUGUUUCCGGGGGAGUCGAGUUUGCAGCCAGGGGAGAAGCUGUAGCUAUGGGGCGAGGGGGAUUAUACACAUAAAUCUGGGAUAAUGACGGUAGUGCUAAUGGGGCUGGCAGCUGCAGCGCCCAAGCCCCCUUGGCCCAUCCCCUAUGCUAAAGGACCAUCCAGGGCUUCCAGGCUUUCUUGGGGACCCAUGGCCCCUGUCAUCUCUCUGAAAGGGCUGUAUAGGGAGUUCAAGCUAGUCUGGGACACCUCUGACACGUCUCCCCACUGGGUCUCAGUUCAGUUUGCAGCUUGCCACUUGCCAGCCCUGCAGUCCAGGGGCAAGUAGGGACCAACAUAAGGACAAGUGAACUUUCUGGGUCUGAGGCUUCCUCCCUCAAGUACUCCACCAGUACCCAGAGUCACCUCAUUUCUAUAUUUCCUGAGGUCAGGCCUCCUACAGCAAAACCCUUUUUCUUUUUCCUUUUUUUUUUUUUUAACUUUUUUUCUUUUUGUCUUUUCAGGGCUGCAGCCGCAGCAUAUGGAGAUUCCCAGGCUAGGGGUCUAAUUGGAGCUACAGCUGCCAGCCUACACCACAGCCACAGCAACACUGGAUCCAGGCCGCUACCACAGCUCACGGCAACGCCAGAUCCUUAACCCACUGAGAAGGGCCAGGGAUCGAACCUGCAACCUCAUGGUUACUAGUCAGGUAUUCAGUAAACCAGGCAUCUGCAUUCUUCAUGAGGAUGGAGCCAGAAAAGGAUAACCUGUGGCUAUUUGCUCUUGUGGCCACUCCUAGUUCAAAACCUGGAGAGAUAAUUUGGAGUAGGGUCUAUUCCCUUGGAAGACAUUUGCAAUAGGUCUAUCUGACUGAGAAAUCACAUCUAGAGUAUAUAAAGAACACCUACAAAUCAAUAAGAAAAAGAAAACCACACUGAUAAAAUGAUAGAAGACUUGAAUGGACAGUUAACAAAAUGGCCAAUAAGCACAUGGAAAAAUGCUCAGUGUCAUCAGUCAUCAGAGAAAUGCAAAUAAGACCACAAUGAAAUAUCACAAAACACCUACCAGAAUGGCUAAAAUGAAAGACUGCUGACACCAAGUGUUGUCAGGAUGUGGAGCCACUGGAACUUUUAUAUACUGCUGAUGGGAAUGUAAAAUGCUCUAGCUACACUGGAAAACUGGUAUAUCUCCUAAAACUACACGUAUAUCUGCCUGAAAACCCAGCAGUUCCAUUCCUGGGUAUUACCCAAUAGAAAUGUGAGCCUGUGUUCCCCAAGACACAUACAAGAAUGUUCAUAUCAGCUUUAUUUGCAGUAACAAAUACUGUAAACAAUUCAAAUAUCCAUCAAUAGUGAGACCAAAUUGUGAUUGGUCCCUACAGUGGACUACACUAUACAGCAAAGAAAAAGGACAGGCUAAUAAUACUUGCAAUAGCAACAAUGAUUCCUACAUGUUCAAUGUAACAUGAAAGAGACCAGACACAGAAAAGGACACAGGAUAUAGGUCCAUUUGUAUGAAGUUCAAGGAUAGGCAAAAUUAAUCUGUGAUGACAAAGUCAAAUUGAGAAAUACUAACUCCCAGGAAAGGGCAUGAGGGAACUUUCUGGAGGGAUGGACAUGAUCCCUCUUGCUCUGAGUGGCGUACACAGGCAUAUACACAUGGAAACAUUAAUUGAGCUGAAACUUAAAAUCUGAGCACUUUACCAUAUGCAAAUUAUAUCUCAUUCAAAGGAGGGGGGGAGGAGAACAGAGAAAAGAAAAAGUCCCCUAGAGCUAUAUGUGACCCAUAUACUGGGUGAAUCCUGACACCUCCUUCAUCAGACUUUUUACAACAAUCUUCUAGUGUGGACAAAAGUUGGAAAAUUUAAGCAGAUACCUCAGAUUCAGGAGGGAGGUCCAAGAGUGGGAUUGUACCUCUCCCAUGUCCCUGUGGUGACUUGGGCCUCUAGUUUCCACUGGCCCUGGGGAAUGGAUUGUCCAGUCUGAGGGCAAGGGGAUGCUCUUGAGGUCCUUUUUUUAUUUUUAUUUUUAUUUUAUUUUAUUUAUUUAUUUUUUGAGGUCCUUUUUAAAAUCUUGAAUCCUCUUCCAUCCCAAGCUGUGGGUCCAGGCAACUCUCCUACCAGAAACUACUGGUUGCAGGUCCUGUGCCAAUCACUUCUGUGUGUAAUAAUGUAUGCAACCCUUACAGUGGCUUUGGGAGACAGUCAUUAUCAGACCCAUUUCAUGGAUUAGAGAACUGAGGGUUAAGCACCCUUGACGAUGAGGACAUUCGCCACACUCCAGACGUGAACCAUCCAAGCCUUUGGCUAUGAAAUGGGCUGGUGACUUCCCACUGAGGGUACAGAGAAGGGUGCCUGCCCCCUGCCUCCUCUCUUCUGACUUCCUGUGUGUUGUAGGAACAUCACAGCUGCUUCAGGACCAAAAGUCACAGUGGCUUCCGGAUCCUGUCCCUCCCUCUUUUACAUUCCACAGGGGAUGCAGGGUAGGAUAAGGUUGUUUCCAGGUGGCCUUCAAGAUCCACUUUUGGGGAGUUCCUGUCGUGGUGCAGUGGUUAACGAAUCCGACUAGGAACCAUGAGGUUGCGGGUUCGGUCCCUGCCCUUGCUCAGUGGGUUAACGAUCCGGCAUUGCCGUGAACUGUAGUGUAGGUUGCAGAUGCGGCUCGGAUCCUGCGUUUCUGUGGCUCUGGCGUAGGCCGGUGGCUACAGCUCCGAUUGACCCCUACCUGGGAACCUUCAUAUGCCGCGGGAGUGGCCCAAGAAAUAGCAAAAAGACAAAAAAAAAAAAAA